GGAUUAGGCAUGCAAGUCGAACGAAACUUAUCAUUGGGUAACCGAAGUUAAGUUUAGUGGCGAACGGGUGAGGAAUGCAUGGGUAACGUGCCUCGGACUCAGGAAUAGCGGCGGGAGCUUGCUCCCUUUGCGAAAGUGCCGGUAAUACCUGAUAACCCCAUAGAAUCGCAUGGUUCUUUGGGCAAAGGUCCGCCGGUCCGAGAUCGACCCAUGUCCUAUCAGCUUGUUGGUGGGGUAAUGGCCUACCAAGGCAACGACGGGUAGCGGGCGUGAGAGCGCGAUCCGCCACAUCGGGACUGAGACACUGCCCGGACACCUACGGGUGGCUGCAGCAACGAAUAUUCCGCAAUGGGCGCAAGCCUGACGGAGCGACGCCGCGUGCAGGAUGAAGUCCCUCGGGAUGUAAACUGCUGUCAGGGACUAGGAAGAUCUGACCAAUCCCAAAGGAAGCACCGGCUAAUUCCGUGCCAGCAGCCGCGGUAAUACGGAAGGUGCGAGCGUUGUUCGGAAUCACUGGGCUUAAAGCGCGUGUAGGCGGAAUGGAAGGUGUCUUGUGAAAGCCCUCGGCUCAACCGGGGAACUGCUUGGCAAACCAUCAUUCUUGAGGCAGGUAGAGGCGACUGGAACGUUUGGUGGAGCGGUGAAAUGCGUAGAGAUCAAACGGAACACCGGUGGCGAAAGCGAGUCGCUGGGCCUGUUCUGACGCUGAGACGCGAAAGCGUGGGUAGCAAACAGGAUUAGAUACCCUGGUAGUCCACGCCGUAAACGAUGUGCACGUGGUACGGGAGUCUCUGACGACAUCCGUGCCGAAGCUAAAGCGAUGAGUGCGCCGCCUGGGGAGUACGGCCGCAAGGCUAAAACUCAAAGGAAUUGACGGGGGCUCACACAAGCGGUGGAGCAUGUGGAUUAAUUCGAAGCAACGCGCAGAACCUUACCUGGGUUUGACAUGUACGGAUGCCCUUUUGGAAACAAGAGUAAGCUGCCUUCGGGCGAAACGUACACAGGUGCUGCAUGGCUGUCGUCAGCUCGUGCUGUGAAGUGUCGGGUUAAGUCCCUUAACGAGCGAAACCCCUAUCGCUAGUUGCCAGCGGUUCGGCCGGGAACUCUAGCGAGACUGCCGGCGUCAAGCCGGAGGAAGGUGGGGAUGACGUCAAGUCCUCAUGGCCUUUAUGCCCAGGGCGUCACACGUGCUACAAUGGUCCGUACAGAGCGACGCGAGACCGCGAGGUGGAGCAAAUCGCACAAAGCGGGCCUCAGUUCGGAUCGGAGUCUGCAAUUCGACUCCGUGAAGUCGGAAUCGCUAGUAAUCGCGUAUCAGCCAUGACGCGGUGAAUGUGUUCCUGAGCCUUGUACACACCGCCCGU
rnacentral:rRNA from 1 species